AUCCAGCUGACGAGUUCCAAAUAGCACGAAACGUGCAUCCUGGAU
rfam:Schistosoma curassoni strain Dakar, Senegal genome assembly, scaffold: SCTD_scaffold0004313